GACGAACGCUGGCGGCGUGCUUAACACAUGCAAGUCGAACGGACAGGCCUCUUUCGGGGGGUACUCGUGUGGCGAACGGGGGAGUAACACGUGAGUAACCUGCCCCUGACUUUGGGUUAACUUCCGGCAACAGGGGCUACUACCGGAUAGGGGCUCCUGCUGCACGGGGGGGGGUGGAAAGUUUCGGCGGGUGGGGAUGGAUUAGCGGCUUAUCCGCUUGUUGGUGGGGAAGUGGCUUACCAAGGCGUUGUCGGGUAGCCGGCCUGAGAGGGUGAGCGGCCACAUUGGGACUGAGAGACGGCCCAGGCGCCUACGGGAGGCAGCAGGGGGGAAGAUUGCACAAGGGGUGGAAGCCUGAUGCAGCAACGCCGUGUGCGGGAGGACGUCCUUCGGGUUGUAAACCGCUUUCGCUCAUGACGAAGCUUUGUGUGACGGUAGUGGGUAAAGAAGCACCGGCUAACUACGUG
rnacentral:rRNA from 1 species